rnacentral:rRNA from 1 species
UACGUAGGGCGCAAGCGUUAUCCGGAAUUAUUGGGCGUAAAGAGCUCGUAGGCGGUUUGUCGCGUCUGCCGUGAAAGUCCGGGGCUCAACUCCGGAUCUGCGGUGGGUACGGGCAGACUAGAGUGAUGUAGGGGAGACUGGAAUUCCUGGUGUAGCGGUGAAAUGCGCAGAUAUCAGGAGGAACACCGGUGGCGAAGGCGGCUCUCUGGGCCUUACCUGACGCUGAGGAGCGAAAGCUGGGGGAGCGAACAGG